AGAGUUUGAUCCUGGCUCAGGACGAACGCUGGCGGCGUGCUUAACACAUGCAAGUCGAGCGGAAAGGCCCUUCGGGGUACUCGAGCGGCGAACGGGUGAGUAACACGUGGGCAACCUGCCCUCAGCUCUGGGAUAACUCCGGGAAACCGGGGCUAAUACCGGAUACGACCUUCCCUCGCAUGGGGGUUGGUGGAAAGUUCUUCGGCUGAGGAUGGGCCCGCGGCCUAUCAGCUUGUUGGUGGGGUGAUGGCCUACCAAGGCGACGACGGGUAGCCGGCCUGAGAGGGCGACCGGCCACACUGGGACUGAGACACGGCCCAGACUCCUACGGGAGGCAGCAGUGGGGAAUAUUGCGCAAUGGGCGGAAGCCUGACGCAGCGACGCCGCGUGAGGGAUGAAGGCCUUCGGGUUGUAAACCUCUUUCAGCAGGGACGAAGCGAGAGUGACGGUACCUGCAGAAGAAGCACCGGCCAACUACGUGCCAGCAGCCGCGGUAAUACGUAGGGUGCAAGCGUUGUCCGGAAUUAUUGGGCGUAAAGAGCUCGUAGGCGGUCUGUCGCGUCGGCUGUGAAAACUCGGGGCUCAACCCCGAGCCUGCAGUCGAUACGGGCAGACUAGAGUGCUGUAGGGGAGACUGGAAUUCCUGGUGUAGCGGUGAAAUGCGCAGAUAUCAGGAGGAACACCGGUGGCGAAGGCGGGUCUCUGGGCAGUAACUGACGCUGAGGAGCGAAAGCGUGGGGAGCGAACAGGAUUAGAUACCCUAGUAGUCC
rnacentral:rRNA from 1 species